GAAAUAUUAUAAUUAAGCUUCUAACUUAAAAUUUAGCGAUUAAAUCGUUUAUAUUUCU
rnacentral:tRNA from 1 species